rnacentral:rRNA from 1 species
AUUGAACGCUGGCGGCAGGCCUAACACAUGCAAGUCGAGCGAGCGGCGGACGGGUGAGUAAUGUAUGGGGACUGCACGAUAGAGGGGGAUAACUACUGGAAACGGUGGCUAAUCCCGCAUACUAUCGGAUUACACAAAUGGGAUUAGCUAGUAGGGGGGGUAAAGGCUCACUUGGGCGACGAUCUCUAGCUGUUCUGAGAGGAUGAUCAGCCCCACUGGGACGUGGACACGGCCCAGCCUCCUACGGAGGUAGCUGUGGGAAAUAUUGCACAAUGGUCGCAAGCCGGAUGCAGCCAGGCCGCGUGUAUGAAGAAGGACUUAGGGUUGUAAAGUACUUUCGGCGGGGAUGCGUUACCCGCAGAAGAAGCACCGGCUAACUCCGUGCCAGCAGCCGCGGUAAUAC